rnacentral:lncRNA from 1 species
UAAUUGCAAUAUCUUCUUCAUCCUGUACCUUGGUUAUCAAUGUGGUUUCAUGGAGACCCUUUAAAUCUUUUUAUGCUAUUGUGUUAUGUAGUAAGGUCACUACAAGUCCUUUAGUUAGGGGUGUGGCCCUACCAUUGUGUGUAAUCAUUGGUUUGCAAUUCUUGAACUUAGUCACACGAAGCAUGGAAAUUAUGUGAAUUGAUUGUUUUCAG